AUCAAAAAGUUUUAAAACAAAUUUAGGUAUGUUUGUGUGUUUUUCUAUUUUCGACCGGCAAGGUGAUAGACAGUGUAUUUUUUGUGUUACAAAAUAUAAUAUAAUUAUAUUUAAAAUGUCUGGUGCAGAAACUGAGGAAAUUGAUAACACUGAAACUGAAAUAAAGGAUGAAGCAAUUUUGAAAAUUGGUGAUUCUUUUUCAUCAUUUGAUGAAUUUAAAGAAAAAUUGGAUGAAUUCCAAAAAUUUACAUGUACUUCCUUUUUUGUUCGUGACAGUAUUACUGUCAAUGGUUGUAAAAAGAAGGAAAUAAAAAAGGAAAUCAAUCCGACUUUAAAAUAUUAUAGAAUAAAAUACUCUUGUUUUAAGGGAGGGAAAAAAUUUAAAACAAGAGGAAAAGGCGUGCGAGAUUCUACAACUUCGAAAGAAUCCUGUCCAGCUUUUUUUAAUUUGGUGGCGAAUGAGGAAGGGAAUUGUUUAAUCUUAUUUUAAGGUUAACUACACACAUAAUCAUCCUGUGACAAAGUUUUUACAUUCUCAUACCACAUAUGGGAGACGAUUGGAUCCAGUGGUGGACUUAGAAUGUAUAAAUGAUGUCGAUGUUAUGUUAAAAUUCAAGGUUCCCACUCGCGAAAUACAAAAUAAAGUAUUUAAUGCCACUGGAAAAAAAAUUUUGGCCAAAGAUAUUCAAAAUAGAAAAAAUCAAGUCUUGGAUCAAGUAUCUGAAGAUAAUUGGAUCUUUUUAGAUACGUUUGAACCUGUACCAGAUGGUGUUAUUCCAGACUGCAAUGUUGAUGAAAAUUGUAACAAGAUUAGUCUGGAAAAUAUUAGAAUUCCACCAACUUUUAAGCCUAGAGGCCGACCAAAAGGAACAAAAAAAAUAAAUGCCAUCGGAUUACCAAAAAAAAAAAAUAUAAAGUCCAAGUCUUCUAUUAUGCAUCAAUGUUUUGCAAAAAAAUCCGAUAUAAAUAAAUAUUUUAUAAUUUUAUCGUGCUUUGUUAGUCCAGAAAUCGCAGAUGCUGCUAUAAAUAAAAAAUAUAUCAUUGAAGAAAAAGAUGUGGAGAUAAUACCAGACAAUGUAUCACAUAAAAUAAUCCACGAAGAUGUAAAGCUGGACAGAAUAUCUAAAUUUUUUUCAGAAGAUGCGUGGAUCAUAAUUAAGCAAAUUGAAAAACAAAAAAGAGAAUCCAAAAUUACGUGGACCUGUCUAAUAUGUAAAAAAAAAUAAAAGAUGAAGAACCCUCAGUAAAUUGUGACUAAUGUUUAGAGUGGUAUCACACAAAAUGUGUUAAUUAUAACUCUAAAAAAAAUACUAAAUUAUGGAAAUGUCUAUAUUGUUAA